GAGACUGCGAAUCGAAAUGAAAAUGUUGGCUGAACAUCGCCGGAAUAUAUAUCUAUCAAAAUAAAUGAAAAAUGGUUGAGAACGAGCUCCCGGAAUUAUGGGGAAAACGCUGUGAAGGAACAAACACACUUGCACACGCGCACGCACAGCACAGAACACAGCCGAAUAAGUACCCUGUAGAACCAAAGAGAUCAAUUGACCCCUCUCGAACUAGUUCUGCGCUGUUUACCGCGCAACUAGCUACGCAACUAGUUACGCGGGAAGCGAACGCGGACCAGGUCUUCGUCGACUACAAUGUACUAGUUCUGCAACUAGUUACGCGGGAAGCGAACGCGGACCAGUCGAAAAAGAACCGAAAAACGAAGCCGCCUUCGGUUUGUUUUUGAAGGCGGCAAAUAACCGCAAUUCCGUGGAGUUACAGUGCCCACUCAGCUAGUUUUUACCGUGCCACGACAUGCAAUAAGCACCGAAAUGGUAAGUUAAUCGUGAUAUUUUACUGUAGUUGCGCUCGUGGAAUGAAAGAGACAAGAAUUUACACAAACAAAAUGCAUUUGUUUUCCUCGUUUGCUUUAUGCGUUGAUUUUGUUCACUUCUGUAGAACAUCUAAUCGCUGGAAGAGUCUUUUGUGUAAACAUUUAUUAAAAAAGUGGAAAAGAAUUAAUAAAUAAAUCAAAUUAAUAUAAACAGACUCCGUAAGAGUGAAAGGGAAGCUAACAUUGCAAAGUAAGCGUUGUGCAGGAAAGAUAACAGAUAACAGCAAUGAAAUCGAUUCUCCAGCCAGCUGGCGUUUUGAGCGGCUUAAACUUUAUUUUGAGUGAGGAAAUUGUUCUAGCCUAUAACGUCGAUGGGGUCCAAGGGAAGAAGGCCCUUAGGACCCACAAAGAAUUUUUUGCAGCUUUGCUAGAAUGUAUUCCGCCUGGCGAUGAGCCCCCCGAAAACACUGUGCGGAAGGCAAUGCAAAGGAUGAAGAAAUGGGUUUUUAAGAAGAAGUGUCUUGCCAAAAACCAGGAGUAGGCUAAGCAUCAUAAAAUUAAAAAUUAUUCGUUAUAAUGAAAGACAUUGU